rnacentral:rRNA from 1 species
AGCAGUCGCCACGGGAAUACGAAGGGAGCUAGCGUUGCUCGGAAUGACUGGGCGUAAAGGGCGCGUAGGCGGAUCGAUCAGUCAGGGGUGAAAUCCCAGGGCUCAACCCUGGAACUGCCUUUGAUACUGUCGAUCUGGAGUAUGGAAGAGGUGAGUGGAAUUCCGAGUGUAGAGGUGAAAUUCGUAGAUAUUCGGAGGAACACCAGUGGCGAAAGCGGCUCACUGGUCCAUUACUGACGCUGAGGUGCGAAAGCGUGGGGAGCAAACAGGAUUAGAUACCCGAGUAGUCCCUGUCUCUUAUAA